rnacentral:rRNA from 1 species
GGAUCUGCCCUGCACUUCGGGAUAAGCUUGGGAAACUGGGUCUAAUACCGGAUAGGAGCCAUCUUUAGUGUGAUGGUUGGAAAGUUUUUUCGGUGUAGGAUGAGCCCGCGGCCUAUCAGCUUGUUGGUGGGGUGAUGGCCUACCAAGGCGACGACGGGUAGCCGGCCUGAGAGGGUGAUCGGCCACAUUGGGACUGAGAUACGGCCCAG